rnacentral:lncRNA from 1 species
CCCCUUAUUUUUAGCAUCCACCUAUCUCUCCUUCACAUUAAAACUCCUCUUUCUUUCUCUUUUUCUUUCAUGAGCCUCCUUUUCUUCCCAAAUCCAGUGCCCUCCUUUUUCUUCUCUUCACUGCCCCUUUCUCUCUACAUUAAAUCUCAACCCUCUAUCGUUUACAAGCCUCACAUAUUCACUUAAGGAAUCCUAGCUCCCAAUUCUUGUUCCCAUCUUUAAUCAUUAAUCCCACAUUACCUAAUCAAUAAACUUCAUACCUCCUAGCACCUAUAAAUAAGUCCCAAUGCCUCAACCUAG